CGUACUGUUUGUCGUCCUGCUGAUGUGUAUAGUUACUUUCUGGCUGAGGAAGAGAAAGCAAGAAGCGGUACCAGCUAACCCUGCCGCUGCCUCCAACAGAGGGGAGUCAAGCACAGAGGAAGGCAGAGCAAAACCAGGGAGUGACAGAGAAAAGGAUGAGCUCACCCUAGAAAAUGAAAAUCUGAACAACAGCUCCAGUCGCCUUCCGGUGAACUUUGCAACAGAGCUUUCCCAGUUAUUUAAUGCCACAAAUUCAGAAAGUUCAUUUCAGCCUACAUGCCAGAACACCUCAGAUGGUGAUUAUGACUCUUCCUCAGAUAUCUGCAUUCCCCGGGAUUUACCCCAAGCCGAUCAUUCCAAGUGCGUGUGCUUUCAUUACCAACAGGGAUAUUGUACUUCAGAUGCAUAUUCCGAAUAGAAUAAUAAAAAUGGUGGGCUAGAA